CACUCUGAGCGGUGGAUCACUCGGCUCGUGGAUCGAUGAAGAGCGCAGCAAAGCGCGAUAGCUACUGCGAACUGCAGGAUUACUUGAGCAGCAAGAGCUUGAACGCAAAUUGCGGCUUCGGGUCCUCCCGGAGUCACGUUCGCCUGAGGGUCGAAGUUUCUAUCAUCAAAACCAACUUUUGGUUAUUGAAAUGGCUACGCAGGACUAUUUAUUCCUGCGGGCUCAAGAUAGUUGAAUACUGACACUGCGGAUGACACCGAAAGUGGACUCCAAGUGGUUGUUCAGUUGAAUAAUUUUAUUAUUUUCAAUAAUUUCAAUUAUCGACCUCAGACGAGCGAGAUUGCCCGCUGAAUUUAAGCAUAUCACUAAGCGGAGAAAAAGACAAUAACAAUGAUACCCAUAGUAACGGCGAGUGAAAUGGGUAGAGCUCAUAGCCGAAUUCCGCUGCGUUGCGCAGUUGGAAGUUGUGGCGUUUAGAACUGCCGCCAGUAACCGACGGCCGGGCGACGCGACCCCUCUUGAUUGUGGUUUGCCCAGAGCUGGUGAAAGGCCAAUAGGCGUUGCCUUACUCGAGGUCGUUGGUGAUGGCAGUCCUAAGAGUCGGGUUGUUUGGGAUUGCAGCCCGAAGCAGGUGGUAAACUCCACCUAAAGCUAAAUACUGCCGCGAGUCCGAUAGAGCACAAGUACCGUGAGGGACAGUUGAAAAGAACUUUGAAGAGAGAGUUCAAAGUACGUGAAACCGUUCAGAGGCAAACAGGUGGAAGGUCGAAUCGAGGUUGGCAGUCAAGCUAAAGUUGGUUGGAUCGGUUGGUUCCAGUGUGUUCUGGCCGGUGCGCCAGCUAACUUUGGUUGUACUUGUCAGCUUUGUAUCGCCGUAGCGACUACCUUGGAGGUACGCCGGUUCCUCUGGUCGGCAGCAAUCCAUUUGGGUUGUUUUAAAUGGCUGAACCAAGAGCUGGUUGUGCCGCUUCGCAAGAGGCAGUCGAUUUUAUUAAUUUAUGGCUUUGUGCUUUGCGCAUUGUUCCUCUGGUUAACAGACCGUUGACUGGCGCUGCUUCACUGGCAAAGUUCAGCUGAGUGGUGUCAGUAGUGGCGGCUGUUGGCUUUAGCGAACAAGGCCUGUAUUGGCGGCGUUGACAACGAGGCUUUUACCUGACCCGUCUUGAAACACGGACCAAGGAGUCCAGCAUGCGCGCAAGUUGCUGGGAGAUUUUGUUGAAUUCCCAAUGGCAUAGUGAAAGCAAGUUGGGUGGGAUCUGUCAGUCCGACUGACUGGCGGCGCACCACCGCCACGCCUUAUUCGGCUUCGGCUGGCAAGGCGCAGGCAGAGCGUACAUGUUGGGACCCGAAAGAUGGUGAACUAUGCGAGGCGAGGUCGAAGCCAGAGGAAACUCUGGUGGAGGACUGUAGCGGUUCUAACGUGCAAAUUGAUCGUCGCAGCUUCGUAUAGGGGCGAAAGACUAAUCGAACCAUCUAGUAGCUGGUUCCCUC
rnacentral:misc_RNA from 1 species